CUCGCGGCAGUAGCGCGGUGGUCCCACCUGACCCCAUGCCGAACUCAGAAGUGAAACGCCGUAGCGCCGAUGGUAGUGUGGGGUCUCCCCAUGCGAGAGUAGGGAACUGCCAGGC
rnacentral:rRNA from 1 species